rnacentral:hammerhead_ribozyme from 1 species
AUCCAGCUAAUGAGUCUCAAAUAGGACAAAACCUGUGUCCUGGAU